rnacentral:rRNA from 1 species
UACGUAGGGUCCGAGCGUUGUCCGGAAUUAUUGGGCGUAAAGGGCUCGUAGGCGGUCUGUCGCGUCGGGAGUGAAAACACGGAGCUCAACUCCGUGCUGGCUCUCGAUACGGGCAGACUAGAGGUAUGCAGGGGAGAAUGGAAUUCCUGGUGUAGCGGUGAAAUGCGCAGAUAUCAGGAGGAACACCGGUGGCGAAGGCGGUUCUCUGGGCAUUACCUGACGCUGAGGAGCGAAAGUGUGGGUAGCGAACAGGAUUAGAUACCCU